ACAGGAGGAAGAGGAAGUGUCAGAUAUGGGUGGUGACAAUCCUGAAGUGGGCAAGAAAGCUAGAAACUCAAGCAAAUUUGAGCUGAGGAAAAGCCCAGUUUUCAGUGAUGAGGAUUCUGACCUUGACUUUGAUAUCAGCAAAUUGGAACAGCAGAGCAAGUCAGGUAAAAGUUCCAGAAAUGUGAACAACAAAGAUUUUUUUGAUCCAGUUGAAAGUGAUGAAGACAUAGCAAGUGAUCAUGAUGAUGAGCUGGGUUCAAACAAGAUGAUGAAAUUGCUGAAGAAGAAGCAGAAGAAGGAAGCAUUUCUGAAAUAUGAAUGAAAAAAAUUACAUCUUUAGAAAAAGAGUUAUUAGAAAAAAGCCUUGGCAGCGUCGGGGGGAAGUGACAGCACAGAAGAGACCAGAGAAUAGCUUCCUGGAGGAGACCCUGCACUUUAACCAUGCUGUCUGGAUGGGUACAGUGCCCUCUUCUGCAAAGAGUUCACUUCUAUGCUUUUUCUGUGGUUCCAUUUCAUAGAAAGAUUUGGGGCGAUGUUUCUUUUCCCUUAACUUUUUAUUUUAAAAACUUGCAAACACAGAAAAGUUGAUAAAAUCAUACAGUGAACAUCUGUAUUCUAUUCAACUGGAUUCACUAGUUCACAUUUUGUCAUAUUUGUGUUCUCUUUUCCCCAUAUGGAAGAUUGUAUAUUUGCCCUUUUUCCCCCUGAAUCAUUUCAAAGUAAGUUGCCAGUAUCAUAGCAUUUCACUGUUAAGUACUUUUGCAGAUAUCUCCUAAGAACCAGGAUAUUCUCCUAUAUAAUCACAAUACCAUUAAUCCACCCAAAACAUUUAACAUCAGUACACUAAUGAUACCUACUGUAUAGAUUAUAAUCAGCUUCCUUGCAGUAAUCUGUUUAGAAGACUUGCAUCCUGUCACUGUCCACUGAUUAAAUUUUGAACUCUUAACUUGAAA
ensembl:lncRNA MPHOSPH10P1 MPHOSPH10 pseudogene 1